rnacentral:rRNA from 1 species
AUUCUGUUAGAUGAAUAGCUUGGUUUUGGUAAAUAAGACGUGGCAAGCUGCGAUAAGCUUGGGCGAGUUGCAUGCAAACUUUGACCCCAAGAUUUCUAAACUCAGAGAUGAGGAAAAACGCGGGGAAUUGAAACAUCUUAGUACCCGCAGGAAAAGAAAAUAAUUAUUGAUAUCCUGAUUAGCAGCGAGCGAAAAGGAUAAAGGGCAAACUGAAUCCGUCGAUGAAAGUUGAUUGGAGAUGUGGUGAACAUAAAUGCCUAAGUAGAAGAGUCAAACUCAACUGGAAAGUCAGGCCUUAGAGGGUGAUAGCCCCGUAGACAAAUUCUAUAUGGUGUUGUUCAAAGAGUAGGGCAUCUUGGAUUAGGUGUCUGAAUACAGCAGGAUUAACUGCUAACCCUAAACAUAACCAAAGUCCGAUAGCGCAAUAGUACCGCGAGGGAAAGCUGAAAAGUACUCUUAAUAGAGGAUGAAAAGACUUGAAGUCUAACAGAUACAGAUUGUUACGGAUUUACCUCUUACGAGGAAAAAAUUUGUAACGUACGUUUUGAAGAACGGGCCAGGGAGUUUCUCUAUGUGGCGAGGCUAACCUUCUAUGAAGGGUAACCGGAGCGAAAGCAAGUCAGAAAUGGCGUCAGUCACAUGGAUAAGACCUGAAGCCGGGUGAUCUAUUCGUGGGCAAGAUGAAGUCUCUCGAAAGAGGGAUGGAGGUCUAAACGAGUGUUGGGUACAUCCAUUUCGAUGACCUGUGAAUAGGAGUGAAAAGCCUAUCUAACCCGGCAAUGGCUGGUUCCCGCUGAAAUAUGCCUCCGUAUAGUCUCGUCUAUCUUGUUAUCGGUGUAAAGUACGAAUAAAAUUCGCAGGGGCUUUUGCCUUCGGGAUUUUUUUCAACUCAGAAUCUGAUAAUUGACUAUGACGGGAAACAGGGUGUGUACGUAAGGUACACCUCCGAGACCAGAAUAAUGGAGACCAAAGUUAAGGCCCCAAAAUGUUUGCUAAGUGUAUAUAAAAGGUGUCUUAAACCUGAGACAGUAGGGAUGUAAGCUUAGAAGCAGCUAUCAUUCAAAGAAAGCGUAACAGCUCACCUAUCAAGGUUCAAGGCCCUGAAAAUGGACGGGGCUAAGCAAACUGCCGACACUUUGGCAGCGCUCAAUGAGUGUUUGGGUAAGCGGGCGUACUUAUUGCGCAGAAAUAUCUUCGAGAGAAGGUGUGGAGCGAUAAGUAAUGAGAAUCCUGGCAAUAGUAGGAAGUGACUUUCCUGAGAACGGAAAGUGUCGAAAGAGCAAGGUUUUCUUGGCAAUAUUCGUUAGCCAAGAGUUAGUCAGGCCCUAAGUCGUACCUUAACUGAGUACGACGAUGGAUGACAGGUUAAUAUUCCUGUACUGCUAAAAUUUGUAUUGUGCGUUUUUGGAUAAGCGAGCAUCCGAGAGGAUGUUUUGAUAAAGAAAAUAAUCGAGCGUAAUGCUUAGACAUUAAAGAAUUUUUCAAACAAAAUCGCUGAUUCCGGGAGCCAAUGAAAAACACAAUGCUUACGGUUUUAGUAUCUGUACCCACAACCGACACUGGUGCUCUGGCUGAGAAAGCUAAGACAUGAAAGGUAAAAGUGAUUAAGGGAAUUCGGCAUAUUGGCCCUGUAGCUUCGGUUCAAGGGGUGUCUAUUUUUGUGUACUUCGCAAUGUUGUAUGCAUCAGUAGAUCUCAGUAACAAAGGCGGCCCGACUGUUUACCAAAAACGUAGCCGAGUGCUAAUCCGAAAGGACUUGUAUACUCGGUGAGACCUGCCCAGUAGCGGUGUUUCAAACUCUUUUUCAAAAGAGCUAAGACCCGCCAAACGGCGGAGGUAACUAUGACCUUCUUAAGGUUACAAAUUAAUACGAACUUUCGUAUUACGUUGCUUUACGGUACUCGUCGACAAAACGAGUAACGCUCUAAAGGCAUAGUUAAAUUGAUAAUCAGAAGAACAAACAGAGAAAAUCGAGCUAUUUGCUGGAACAUCCGAGAAUGUUAAAUUACUCGUCAAUAAAACGACAGUGAAAAUAUUUAACUGCGGAUUAUCAGCAGGAAAGACUAGAAUAAAUAAAUAUAUAAACCACUUAUUUACAUAUUUUUAUGGUAAAAGAAUAUGACAAAUCAGAAGUACAAUGGAAAGACUUUAUUCCUUAUGUAGGCACUAUGGAAUAUUUUUCAAGGAAUAAAGAAGAAGCAAGUAAAUCUCCAAGGAUUGCUUUUAAUAAUGUAAUGCUUGGAUUGUACAACGCAUUUCUCUAUGCUGCUGCAAUAGCAGUGGCAUACAAAGGUUUAGAAAAAUUAAUUCAUUAAUUCUAGAAUCCUCAGAGACUUUACGCUCGAGAUAAUUUAAAAUUAUCAAGAUAAAGUCCGAACUUCAUAGCGAUAUGAAGAUGUUAAUAGAAAUAUUAACACAAGAUUUUUUAUUUUAAAUAAAAUAAAAACAGUAACAAAGUUUGAGCGUAAUGCCUUGUCGUCUGAAUGGCGACGUGCAUGAAUGGUUCAACGAGGUUGUCACUGUCCCUAACCAGCACCUUCUGAACUCACUUGAUGGUGAAAAUGCCAUCGUCGCCUAGUGGGAAGCGGAGACCUUGUGAACCUUUACUGCAACUUGUUGUUGU